rnacentral:rRNA from 1 species
UGGGGAAUAUUGGACAAUGGGGGAAACCCUGAUCCAGCCAUGCCGCGUGAGUGAUGAAGGCCUUCGGGUUGUAAAGCUCUUUUACCCGGGAAGAUAAUGACUGUACCGGGAGAAUAAGCCCCGGCUAACUUCGUGCCAGCAGCCGCGGUAAUACGAAGGGGGCUAGCGUUGCUCGGAAUCACUGGGCGUAAAGGGUGCGUAGGCGGGUUUUUAAGUCAGGGGUGAAAUCCUGGAGCUCAACUCCAGAACUGCCUUUGAUACUGAAGAUCUUGAGUCCGGGAGAGGUGAGUGGAACUGCGAGUGUAGGGGUGAAAUUCGUAGAUAUUAGCAAGAACACCAGUGGCGAAGGCGGCUCACUGGCCCGGUACUGACGCUGAGGUACGAAAGCGUGGGGAGCAAAC